rnacentral:rRNA from 1 species
UGGGGANUCUUCCGCAAUGGACGAAAGUCUGACGGAGCAACGCCGCGUGAGUGAUGACGGCCUUCGGGUUGUAAAGCUCUGUUAAUCGGGACGAAUGGUUCUUGUGCGAAUAGUGCGAGGAUUUGACGGUACCGGAAUAGAAAGCCACGGCUAACUACGUGCCAGCAGCCGCGGUAAUACGUAGGUGGCAAGCGUUGUCCGGAAUUAUUGGGCGUAAAGCGCGCGCAGGCGGAUCAGUUAGUCUGUCUUAAAAGUUCGGGGCUUAACCCCGUGAUGGGAUGGAAACUGCUGAUCUAGAGUAUCGGAGAGGAAAGUGGAAUUCCUAGUGUAGCGGUGAAAUGCGUAGAUAUUAGGAAGAACACCAGUGGCGAAGGCGACUUUCUGGACGAAAACUGACGCUGAGGCGCGAAAGCCAGGGGAGCGAACGGGAUUAGAUACCCCGGUAGUCCUGGCCGUAAACGAUGGGUACUAGGUGUAGGAGGUAUCGACCCCUUCUGUGCCGGAGUUAACGCAAUAAGUACCCCGCCUGGGGAGUACGACCGCAAGGUUG